AACGAACGCUGGCGGCAUGCCUAACACAUGCAAGUCGAACGAGACCUUCGGGUCUAGUGGCGCACGGGUGCGUACCGCGUGGGAACCUGCCCUUAGGUUCGGAAUCACUCACCGAAAGGGGUGCUAAUACCGGAUAAUGUCUUCGGACCUAAGAUUUAUCGCCUUUGGGUGGGCCCGCGUUGGAUUAGCUAGUUGGUAGGGUAAAAGCCUACCAAGGCGACGUUCCAUAGCUGGUCUGUGAGGAUGACCAGCCACACUGGGGCUGAGACACGGCCCAGACUCCUACGGGAGGCAGCGGUGGGGAGUAUUGGACAAUGGGCGAAAGCGUAAUCCAGCAAUGCCGCGUGAGUGAUGAAGGCCUUAGGGUUGUAAAGCUCUUUUACCCGGGAUGAUAAUGACGGUACCGGGAGAAGAAGCACCGGCUAACUCCGUG
rnacentral:rRNA from 1 species